rnacentral:lncRNA from 1 species
AGACGUAAAUCAAUUUCAUAAAAAAGUCAAGAGUAAUCAAAUCCACUUCAUUAAAAAUCCCGAUUCACCAUUAUAACACUGACUUCAGCAACGAUUGCCUCAGUCUUCCCAAACCCUAUGAAGAAAAAAAACCCAAUUCUCUAUCUUUUUUUUCCGCCGGAAGCAUGAAGCUAGCUCUCUGAUCCUUCAAAAAAACUCCCAAAAAAAACUUCACUCUUCCCUCUCAUUUCUUAACCUUAAUUCUGAAUUUCUUCAAUCCUCCGUCUUGGAUCCGGAAUUGGCU